AAGGGAUUGAAGCUGGAGGCUGAUCUUAGAGCUACCGAGCCACUGAGGAGUGAAGUCAUGGUGCUUCGUGCUGAAAUUCAGAAGUUUGGGUCCGUGAAGGAAGAGCUUGCUGGGCAGGUUAAGAAUCUUUCGCAUGAGCUGGCGAGGGCACAGGCGGAUAACAAGCAGGUGCCGGUUAUGAGGGCGGAGAUUGAGGGGAUGCGGCAGGAGAUUAUGCAUGCGAGGACUGCGCUUGAGUAUGAGAAGAAGGCGAAUGCUGAGCUGUUUGAGCAGAGACAAUCGGUGGAGAAGAACUUGAUUUCAAUGGCGAGGGAGAUUGAAAAGCUGCGUACCGAGGGAGCUAGGGGUGCUACUGGUGUUGGUGGACCGUAUGGUGGCAGUGCUGAGCGGACAUUUCCCGCUGCAUAUGGGGAUGGAUAUGGCCUUCAUUUGGGCAUUGCUGACAAGGCUCCUCUCUAUGGUGCGACAUCUGGAUCUUGGGGAGCAUAUGACAAGUCCCACAUAGCCCGUCGUUGAGACUCUGGGUUGAAUUAUUAUGGGAGAUGCAAAAUGAUUUUCCAGUGUCGGUCAGCUCACGAGGAUUAGAAGCUGUUAGCUUGAUUUGCUGAAUGUGUUCUAUCUGUUUUCUGUUAGCAGGGUACUAUUGGUCAUCAUAAACCAAACACCAUCAUUUCACUUGUGCUGUUAGUUUACCUUGGUUCAUUUUAGUGCUGCAAAGUAUGUUAAAUUUUAUGGAUGAUCUAUUGAAACUAAGUAGCUU
rnacentral:misc_RNA from 1 species